rnacentral:rRNA from 1 species
UGGGGAAUAUUGGACAAUGGGCGAAAGCCUGAUCCAGCAAUGCCGCGUGAGUGAUGAAGGCCCUAGGGUUGUAAAGCUCUUUUACCCGGGAAGAUAAUGACUGUACCGGGAGAAUAAGCCCCGGCUAACUCCGUGCCAGCAGCCGCGGUAAUACGGAGGGGGCUAGCGUUGUUCGGAAUUACUGGGCGUAAAGCGCACGUAGGCGGCUUUGUAAGUUAGAGGUGAAAGCCCGGGGCUCAACCCCGGAAUAGCCUUUAAGACUGCAUCGCUUGAACACGGGAGAGGUGAGUGGAAUUCCGAGUGUAGAGGUGAAAUUCGUAGAUAUUCGGAAGAACACCAGUGGCGAAGGCGGCUCACUGGACCGUUGUUGACGCUGAGGUGCGAAAGCGUGGGGAGCAAACAGG